UACGGAGGAUGCAAGCGUUAUCCGGAAUGAUUGGGCGUAAAGGGUCCGCAGGUUGCAAUGUAAGUCUGCUGUUAAAGAGUGAGGCUCAACCUCAUAAGAGCGGUGGAAACUACAUAGCUAGAGUACGUUCGGGGCAGAGGGAAUUCCUGGUGUAGCGGUGAAAUGCGUAGAUAUCAGGAAGAACACCGGUGGCGAAAGCGCUCUGCUAGGCCGUAACUGACACUGAGGGACGAAAGCUAGGGGAGCGAAUGGU
rnacentral:rRNA from 1 species